ACUACACAAAAGUAAGAAAUUGUGCGGCCCACGUGACCCCUCCUCCGCGCGGUCUGUUUGAUUAUGCUUCAUUCUCAGGUGUGGAAGCACCUGUAGUUGGACCUGUGUUUGGACAUGGCGUCGAAAAAGCCUGAAGAUAUUUGACGGAAAAGAAGAGACGGAGAGACGCGGCUCGUUCGUAGUUUGGAGUUGCACUGAAGCGAUGGAAACCUCCGUGACCAGAGAAGGUCAAAAGUUCCGCGCUUGCUGAAAGAGAGAGAGAGAGAAACGGCGACAGAAGAAAGGAAAGAGGGAAAGAGAGAAAUGUAACUGACGACUCAAGUCUCAGCGAGAAAAAAGUUCCAGAGCUUAAAAGUCCUCGUCCUUUGAGAUUUCCCUCCACGUUCCUGCUUUUGUCUUUCCUGCACUGUGCUGCUUGUGGUUUGUCCGUGGAGGCGCUGGUCCCUUUGCACCUCUCCGCUCUGCUGGACGUCCUUAGAGGACUGAUCAUUCCCACAGGGGCACAUUAGGAUGAAAAAUCUGACUGACUGAGGCCUAAACUUUUCUACAAGUAUGAGAGAGCUGAAGGAGCCUAUCCCAGCAGGUCACUGUGACACUGACAUCAUGCAGAUCUCAGAAAUCUCUUUCUGCUCUUUAAAAACUUACCAAAGCACUUGCUCUGGUUGGUGGCUCUGUCCAUGAACACCUUGGAGGAGAUGACCGUUCCAAAGGGCAAGAACAUCUGCAUGAGCUCGUUAUCGCCGAACUCCUGUGUUUUUAAAGAAGUCAGAAGAACUAGUGACAUGUUUUACUAAUUGCAUCUAUUAUAAGAAAGAAAAGUCUCUCACCCUCACCUUCUCUCUGCUGCUGCUGCUGGAUGACUUGGGGUGGCUGUGGCAAGCUUUGACCAAUAGGGGUCAGUGUGGUUGCCGGGUAGAUCGCUAUAAAGGAAACAAAGAGACAGCAUGGUGAGCUGGCCAGGCUCAGAAAUGGAAAAUAUUGUCAUACAGCACUGACUGUGGGUUCUGGAUGAGCUUAAACCAGUCUUUAGAAUUAAAAUAUUACAUAUUAAAUGUCACAUUUUUAUAUAUAUAUAUAUUAUUGUUGUUUUAUUGAAGAAUUAAGGCAGGUUUUUGGGUAACAAUGCAUCAAAAAAACUUUUUAAUUUUUGUGAGUAUAAAUGCAAACGUUAUUAAAAUGAUUAUUCGCGUC